CCUACGGGAGGCAGCAGUGGGGAAUCUUGCGCAAUGGGCGAAAGCCUGACGCAGCCAUGCCGCGUGAAUGAUGAAGGUCUUAGGAUUGUAAAAUUCUUUCACCGGGGACGAUAAUGACGGUACCCGGAGAAGAAGCCCCGGCUAACUUCGUGCCAGCAGCCGCGGUAAUACGAAGGGGGCUAGCGUUGCUCGGAAUUACUGGGCGUAAAGGGAGCGUAGGCGGAUAGUUUAGUCAGAGGUGAAAGCCCAGGGCUCAACCUUGGAAUUGCCUUUGAUACUGGCUAUCUUGAGUACGGAAGAGGUAUGUGGAACUCCGAGUGUAGAGGUGAAAUUCGUAGAUAUUCGGAAGAACACCAGUGGCGAAGGCGACAUACUGGUCCGUUACUGACGCUGAGGCUCGAAAGCGUGGGGAGCAAACAGGAUUAGAUACCCUGGUAGUCCACGCUGUAAACGAUGAGUGCUAGUUGUCGGCAUGCAUGCAUGUCGGUGACGCAGCUACGCAUAAGACACUCCGCCGUCGGGGAGGUACGGUCGCGAAGAAUUAAAACUUAAAUAGAAGUUAGUACGGACGUGAGACGUGCCGACGGACGACGACGAGGGAGGAGG
rnacentral:rRNA from 1 species